UACGUAGGGCGCAAGCGUUGUCCGGAAUUACUGGGCGUAAAGGGCGCGCAGGCGGCCCUUGAAGUCAGGCGUGAAAGCCCCGGGCUCAACCUGGGAGGUGCGCUUGAUACUCGAGGGCUUGAGUGCGGGAGAGGAGAGUGGAAUUCCCAGUGUAGAGGUGAAAUUCGUAGAUAUUGGGAAGAACACCGGUGGCGAAGGCGGCUCUCUGGACCGUAACUGACGCUGAGGCGCGAAAGCGUGGGGAGCAACAGG
rnacentral:rRNA from 1 species